GUUAACGAGGCGAACCGGGGGAACUGAAACAUCUAAGUACCCCGAGGAAAAGAAAUCAACCGAGAUUCCCCCAGUAGCGGCGAGCGAACGGGGAGCAGCCCAGAGUCUGAAUCAGCUUGUGUGUUAGUGGAACGGUCUGGAAAGUCCGACGGUACAGGGUGAUAGUCCCGUACACCAAAAUGCACAGGCUGUGAACUCGAAGAGUAGGGCGGGACACGUGGUAUCCUGUCUGAAUAUGGGGGGACCAUCCUCCAAGGCUAAAUACUCCUGACUGACCGAUAGUGAACCAGUACCGUGAGGGAAAGGCGAAAAGAACCCCGGCGAGGGGAGUGAAAAAGAACCUGAAACCGUGUACGUACAAGCAGUGGGAGCACCUUCGGGUGUGACUGCGUACCUUUUGUAUAAUGGGUCAGCGACUUAUAUUCUGUAGCAAGGUUAACCGUAUAGGGGAGCCGCAGGGAAACCGAGUCUUAACUGGGCGUUAAGUUGCAGGGUAUAGACCCGAAACCCGGUGAUCUAGCCAUGGGCAGGUUGAAGGUUGGGUAACACUAACUGGAGGACCGAACCGACUAAUGUUGAAAAAUUAGCGGAUGACUUGUGGCUGGGGGUGAAAGGCCAAUCAAACCGGGAGAUAGCUGGUUCUCCCCGAAAGCUAUUUAGGUAGCGCCUCGUGAACUCAUCUUCGGGGGUAGAGCACUGUUUCGGCUAGGGGGUCAUCCCGACUUACCAACCCGAUGCAAACUACGAAUACCGAAGAAUGUUAUCACGGGAGACACACGGCGGGUGCUAACGUCCGUCGUGAAGAGGGAAACAACCCAGACCGCCAGCUAAGGUCCCAAAGUCAUGGUUAAGUGGGAAACGAUGUGGGAAGGCACAGACAGCCAGGAUGUUGGCUUAGAAGCAGCCAUCAUUUAAAGAAAGCGUAAUAGCUCACUGGUCGAGUCGGCCUGCGCGGAAGAUGUAACGGGGCUAAACCAUGCACCGAAGCUGCGGCAGCGACACUAUGUGUUGUUGGGUAGGGGAGCGUUCUGUAAGCCUGCGAAGGUGACCUGUGAGGGUUGCUGGAGGUAUCAGAAGUGCGAAUGCUGACAUAAGUAACGAUAAAGCGGGUGAAAAGCCCGCUCGCCGGAAGACCAAGGGUUCCUGUCCAACGUUAAUCGGGGCAGGGUGAGUCGACCCCUAAGGCGAGGCCGAAAGGCGUAGUCGAUGGGAAACAGGUUAAUAUUCCUGUACUUGGUGUUACUGCGAAGGGGGGACGGAGAAGGCUAUGUUAGCCGGGCGACGGUUGUCCCGGUUUAAGCAUGUAGGCUGGUUAUCCAGGCAAAUCCGGAUAAUCAAGGCUGAGGUGUGAUGACGAAGCACUACGGUGCUGAAGUAACAAAUGCCCUGCUUCCAGGAAAAGCCUCUAAGCAUCAGGUAACAUCAAAUCGUACCCCAAACCGACACAGGUGGUCAGGUAGAGAAUACCAAGGCGCUUGAGAGAACUCGGGUGAAGGAACUAGGCAAAAUGGUGCCGUAACUUCGGGAGAAGGCACGCUGGUGUGUAGGUGAAGCCCCUGCGGGUGGAGCUGAGACCAGUCGAAGAUACCAGCUGGCUGCAACUGUUUAUUAAAAACACAGCACUGUGCAAACACGAAAGUGGACGUAUACGGUGUGACGCCUGCCCGGUGCCGGAAGGUUAAUUGAUGGGGUUAUCCGUAAGGAGAAGCUCUUGAUCGAAGCCCCGGUAAACGGCGGCCGUAACUAUAACGGUCCUAAGGUAGCGAAAUUCCUUGUCGGGUAAGUUCCGACCUGCACGAAUGGCGUAAUGAUGGCCAGGCUGUCUCCACCCGAGACUCAGUGAAAUUGAACUCGCUGUGAAGAUGCAGUGUACCCGCGGCAAGACGGAAAGACCCCGUGAACCUUUACUAUAGCUUGACACUGAACAUUGAGCCUUGAUGUGUAGGAUAGGUGGGAGGCUUUGAAGCGUGGACGCCAGUCUGCGUGGAGCCAACCUUGAAAUACCACCCUUUAAUGUUUGAUGUUCUAACGUUGGCCCCUUAUCGGGGUUGCGGACAGUGUCUGGUGGGUAGUUUGACUGGGGCGGUCUCCUCCCAAAGCGUAACGGAGGAGCACGAAGGUUAGCUAAUCCUGGUCGGACAUCAGGAGGUUAGUGCAAUGGCAUAAGCUAGCUUGACUGCGAGCGUGACGGCGCGAGCAGGUGCGAAAGCAGGUCAUAGUGAUCCGGUGGUUCUGAAUGGAAGGGCCAUCGCUCAACGGAUAAAAGGUACUCCGGGGAUAACAGGCUGAUACCGCCCAAGAGUUCAUAUCGACGGCGGUGUUUGGCACCUCGAUGUCGGCUCAUCACAUCCUGGGGCUGAAGUAGGUCCCAAGGGUAUGGCUGUUCGCCAUUUAAAGUGGUACGCGAGCUGGGUUUAGAACGUCGUGAGACAGUUCGGUCCCUAUCUGCCGUGGGCGCUGGAGAAUUGAGGGGGGCUGCUCCUAGUACGAGAGGACCGGAGUGGACGCAUCACUGGUGUUCGGGUUGUCAUGCCAAUGGCACUGCCCGGUAGCUAAAUGCGGAAGAGAUAAGUGCUGAAAGCAUCUAAGCACGAAACUUGCCCCGAGAUGAGUUCUCCCUGAGACUUUAAGUCUCCUGAAGGAACGUUAAAGACGAUGACGUUGAUAGGCCGGGUGUGUAAGCGCAGCGAUGCGUUGAGCUAACCGGUACUAAUGAACCGUGAGGCUUAACCUU
rnacentral:rRNA from 1 species